UUAUCCACAUUAGGGAUAAUCGCAGGGGUCAACCCGUCCGCAGUGCAAUGGACAGGCCUCGCCCUGGGGGAACCGCCUUCUUG
rnacentral:snRNA from 1 species